AUUUUUGGAGGCGACCAACAUCUCAGAACAGGUUUGGUUUGAUUUUUCACUCACAUUGCUAGUUAAUUCACAUGUAUAUUUUCUUUUCUAUGCUCGAUUAAUCAAAUGGUAACAUUUGUUAUUUUUUUCAAUUUUUGUGAGUGAAUAAUGGAAAGAGGCAUCAUCACCAUGGCUGGUUGGUUAAGUUUAUUUAUUUGGUCAGUUCUUGUGAUGAAUGCUCAAGUUGAUGGAGAUCAAUUAAUAGACAUUACUUUUCUAAAGAGUGCUAUUCCAAAAGGGGCAGGUUGGUUACAUUCUUAUUUUAACUAUUUAUCAAAGCUAACAAUUAGUUACUUUUCACCUCAGCAAAUAAUCACUAUUUCCAUGCAACAGUUUGCUUAGAUGGCAGUCCACCUGCUUACUCCUAUUUUGAGGGAUAUGGAAAUGCCUCAAAUAGUUGGAUUGUUUAUUUGUAGGUAAAAACAUAAUGCAUAAAAAGUGUUUAUAAUAUGCAACUAAUUGAUGAUGAUCGAUAUGUCAUUUGUGAAUAUUUUCAUAAGCAUAACUGACAUUUAGCCUAUGUUAGUAUUGGAAUCAUCAAAAUAUUAGAAUGUAGACAAAGAAAAAGAUUAGAGUAAAUUUGAUGAUCUUUUGAUAAUUUAUCAAAUACUCCAUUAGUAUAAAACAAAGAAAAUUCUAAUAUAGAGUAAUUUUUAUUUAAAUAUUCACAAAGAAAUAAAAGUCAAUGUUAUAGAGUUAUAGUAAUGCAAUUUUGUUUUUGUUUUUGUUUUUGUUUUUGUUUUUGUUUUUGUUUUUGUUUUUGUUUUUGUUUGUUUUUGGAUAUUAGUCUGGUGGAUGGUGUAGUUCGAAAAUAGAGUGUUACAAUAGAUCAACUACACCGCGAGGGAGUACUUACCCAUUUAUUGGUAAUCAAACCAACUUCUGAGGGUUACUAGAUACAAAUUCCACUUUUAAUCCAGAUUUCUACAAUUGGCAUAAAGUUUACAUUUACUAUUGUGAUGGCUCAUCAUUUAUGUCAGAUAUCAAACAUGUCGAUCCAAGGACCAAAGUCACUUACCGGGGUGCAAGGAUUUUUAAAGUCGUGAUGGAAGAAUUGCUCUCUAAAGGAAUGGGAAAUGCUAAAAAUGCUAUGUUAGUAGGUACCUCAGCCGGUGCGAUGACAACCACCUUGCAUUGUGAUAAGUUUUAAAAACUUUUUCAAAAUAACAGUCGAGUGAAGUGUAUUUAAGAUUCUGGUUUCAUCAUUCACGGAAAGGGCCUCCUUGGAGAUCACUAUAGAGAGAAAUAUUACGCCGAUAUAAUUAGAAAACAUACAAUUUGAUCGGAGUUCUUUUCGGCAAAUAGAUAUUGAGAAUGACUUCCCGCGGCACCUCACUCACUCCGGACCUCUUUCUCCAUAAAUGUCUUGCCAGCCACUCUGUCUAAUCAUCAUCCAACUUGUAGUUAUUCAUGAAUCAAAAUUUUUUUAUGCACUUAUUACAAG